AAACUGAGUAACGUCGUUUUGUUUCAAUUGAAAGGCAAACGACGUCGUCGCCGGACCCGUAUCUUGAAAAGAUACAUAAAAUCCUCCUCCACAUUCUCCCUCUUCUUCUUCCAGUUUGUUGAGCUAGGCAGAGAGAGAUGUCGAAGGGGAAGAAGGAAUUGAUGGCGUCGGCGCCGUGGAGGGUUGAAGAGGACGACGGCGGAGAUAAGUUCUCGGACGCGAAGAUGAAAGUGACACGGCAGCAGGCGGGGCGGAGUCAACCAUGCACGUCCCUGGCAAGAAAACCAAGCGCGCUGCUCACGACUACGACGCCGACGACUCUCUCACUGAGAUCGACCCCGAGCUCCGCUACAGCUUCCACCGUAACUAUCAGUUCCUUCAACGAGUUUUUAGCAUUGAUACUAUCGUGAAACCUCUUCCGGCUUCUAUGGCUUACAAUGUCUCCCGCAACUUGAACUUCUUUACUCGCAUUUUCACCCAGUUUUUUGAUCCUGAAGGUGUUGCGAAUGCGCAGAAAUCACUCGGUAUAGGACAGGAAGAGAAAGCUCGUCGCGUGCGGUGAUGCAUAUUAAGGAUCUAGAAUGCAGUGUAGUAGUAAACAUUCAGUUCUUGUUUUAACUUUCCUUGGUUGUGCUUGUUCUUAUCCUUAAUAAUAUUCUAUCCCUUCAUGAUCAGAAAUUGGAUUUCGAAUUUUAAUGGCAGAAAAAUUUAACUCUCCUGCUAUAACUAGAGCAUAAAUGCCACAGAGCAGCAAUAUCUAGCUGGA